rnacentral:ncRNA from 1 species
UUGGUAUUCCGAUUUUUUUCAAUCUCGGAAUGAAAAGGGAAUCCGGUGACCUCGAUAGCUAUCGGGGAAUUCCGGAGCUGUACCCGCAGCUGUAAGUCCUUUUUUCCCGCUUAGGCGGGAAAUGUUUUGAGAAUACCUCUUGCCACUGUAUCGGACAACGGUAUGGGAAGGCCUCAAAACAGGACGAGCCAGAAGACCUGCCAAACUC